rnacentral:rRNA from 1 species
UACCAGCACCCCGAGUGGUCGGGACGUUUUAUUGGGCCUAAAGCAUCCGUAGCCGGUUCUACAAGUCUUCCGUUAAAUCCAACUGCUUAACAGGUGGGCUGCGGAAGAUACUAUAGAGCUAGGAGGCGGGAGAGGCAAGCGGUACUCGAUGGGUAGGGGUAAAAUCCGUUGAUCCAUUGAAGACCACCAGUGGCGAAGGCGGCUUGCCAGAACGCGCUCGACGGUGAGGGAUGAAAGCUGGGGGAGCAAACUGG